ACCGUCCUUAUCUGGGGGAGCGUAUUGGUCAAUGAGCGACAAGUGAGGCCAAUCAUGCUGAUACCCAUCGAUAAACAAACCCACGGCACGUUACGCUACGGUGUAGUAGUUGUCGUAAUUUUUGGAACC